UUGGUUUAAAUCAUUGUGGAUCUACACUUCGAAAAUAGUGACAAUACAAUGGGGUGGGACAUACAUUGAUUUCAUCCAA
rnacentral:pre_miRNA from 1 species